rnacentral:lncRNA from 1 species
AGGUAACUGAGGCACAGAAAAGUGAAGUGAUUUGCCCAAGGCCACACAGCAGAUAAGUGCCAGAGCCGGCAUUACAACCUACGGCCUUCUCACUCCCGGGCCCGUGCUCUAGCCACAAUGCCAUUUUUUGGUCUAAUGGAUCGAGUACAAGCCUAGGAGUCAGAAGGACCUGGCUUCUAAUCUCAGCUCCAACACUUGUCUGCUGAGUGACCUUGGGCAAGUCAUUUCUCUGUGCCUCAGCUGUCUCAUCGGUAAAAUGAGGAUUGAUACUGUGAUCCUCAUGUGGGAUAUGGAUCAUGUGCCACCUAGUUACCUUGUAUCUACCUCAGUGCUUAGUAGAGCGCCUGGCACAUAGUAAGCACUACCAUAAAAAAAAUUCUAAAGCCCUGCAGUCUAAUCUCUUAGCCACCUGACUUUACUGACCAACAUUUUUUAUUAUUAUUAAUAAAUUAAUAAUACUAAAAUUGCAGAAUUUGUUAGGCAGUUACUAUGGGCCACACACUUAACUAAGCACCGGGGUAGAUACCAGAUAACCAGGUUGGACACAGCCCCUGACCCACACAGGACUCGCAAUCUAAGUAGAAGGGAGAAUAGUUUUCCAAACUGAGUCACUCCCUUUCCAGCCAGUCAAUUCUCAGAGGAGGAAAAAAAAUCGAUUAAAUAAACAUUAGCUGCUGGGAUCCUAGGGCUCAAUAACCAAAGGGCAGUUGAGAGGCAGAACACAGACAGCUUCAGUCUACCCGUGUGGAGAUUUUCAGUUUCGCCGCAUAUUUCUUUUUGGGUUGACGUACGUUUUGAGCCUUUCAAGUUAAUAAAAAAAAAAAAAAAAUUCCAGUGUGGACUACGGCAGAGAGGAGCCCGGGAGUGUGGUUCGACUUCGAAGGAGACUGAUGGACCAGGAAACGCAGCCUCGCUAUCCUUGGGAAGAAAAGUUACUGAGGAUUGCUGGGCCCAGCAGAGAAAACCAUGUGACAAAGACCCUAUGACACAGCUUAACGAGAGUGAAAAAAUAUUGUACUUUUCCUCCUGAAGAAGAAUCUUGCUCGCAGAAAGAUGCCGAUAUAUACAGGUACCAGAAAAAACUGUAGGCCUUAAAAAUAAGCCAGGGUUCUAGUCUCCUCACGUGAUAGACAAAAUCAAACUCACAUUUCCACCAAGGAAAGAAGUACUGUUUGAACAUGCCGGGUCAGUGGGUUAAAAAAUGAUAAUAAUAAUAAUAAAAAAGAAGCAAUGAAAUUACUCUUCAUUUCCUGUCUCCUUUAAUCCUGUCUGCUGCUUCCCAUAUCCCGGCCAGUUCCUAGAGGAACUAUUACUCUAUCAGCCCAGAGAAGAGUGCUGUCAGCUGAUUUUAUCCAGUUCCGAGAUACCGAUUCCCCAGUCUCACAAAACUUGGCUAUCACAUUCCAGAGUCAGGAACUGCCACAAAUUAGUUGUAAGAGCUU